CGAGAUUAUUGUUGCAAUGGUGAGUGGUGAUACCAAAUAUAAAAAGCGAACCUAAAGAUUCUGUAUCAAUUGAGCUCAAUUUGUGAUUUUAAUCAAGAUUGCCCUGUUAUGAGAGUUGUCCCAACAUAUUGAACUUGGUAAAAUUGUUGUCACAUAAAAAAAUAGUUAGCAAGAUUACCAUGAUUACUGGUUGCAGCUUGAGAAAUUCGUUUUCGGAGUUAAAGACUCAAACUAAUUUAUAGAUACAAUUUUAUGAAUGCUUAGUAAUAUUGUACAAUAUUUCUUUAACAGAUCGAUCAAAACACAUGUUUAAUAUCAAGAUAUG